CCUACGGGAGGCAGCAGUGGGGAAUAUUGGACAAUGGGCGAAAGCCUGAUCCAGCCAUGCCGCGUGUGUGAAGAAGGCCUUCGGGUUGUAAAGCACUUUCAGUGGGGAAGAAAGCCUUGGGGCGAAUACCCUCGAGGAAGGACAUCACCCACAGAAGAAGCACCGGCUAACUCCGUGCCAGCAGCCGCGGUAAUACGGAGGGUGCGAGCGUUAAUCGGAAUUACUGGGCGUAAAGCGCGCGUAGGCGGUCUGAUAAGCCGGUUGUGAAAGCCCCGGGCUCAACCUGGGAACGGCAUCCGGAACUGUCAGGCUAGAGUGCAGGAGAGGAGGGUAGAAUUCCCGGUGUAGCGGUGAAAUGCGUAGAGAUCGGGAGGAAUACCAGUGGCGAAGGCGGCCUUCUGGACUGACACUGACGCUGAGGUGCGAAAGCGUGGGUAGCAAACAGGAUUAGAUACCCUAGUAGUC
rnacentral:rRNA from 1 species